GAGUUUGAUCCUGGCUCAGGAUGAACGCUGGCGGCGUGCUUAACACAUGCAAGUCGAACGAAGCACCUGGAUUUGAUUCUUCGGAUGAAGAUCCUUGUGACUGAGUGGCGGACGGGUGAGUAACGCGUGGGUAACCUGCCUCAUACAGGGGGAUAACAGUUAGAAAUGACUGCUAAUACCGCAUAAGACCACAGGGUCGCAUGACCUGGUGGGAAAAACUCCGGUGGUAUGAGAUGGACCCGCGUCUGAUUAGGUAGUUGGUGGGGUAACGGCCUACCAAGCCGACGAUCAGUAGCCGACCUGAGAGGGUGACCGGCCACAUUGGGACUGAGACACGGCCCAAACUCCUACGGGAGGCAGCAGUGGGGAAUAUUGCACAAUGGGGGAAACCCUGAUGCAGCGACGCCGCGUGAUCGAAGAAGUAUUUCGGUAUGUAAAGCUCUAUCAGCAGGGAAGAAAAUGACGGUACCUGACUAAGAAGCACCGGCUAAAUACGUGCCAGCAGCCGCGGUAAUACGUAUGGUGCAAGCGUUAUCCGGAUUUACUGGGUGUAAAGGGAGCGUANACGGCUGUGUAAGUCUGAAGUGAAAGCCCGGGGCUCAACCCCGGGACUGCUUUGGAAACUAUGCAGCUAGAGUGUCGGAGAGGUAAGUGGAAUUCCCAGUGUAGCGGUGAAAUGCGUAGAUAUUGGGAGGAACACCAGUGGCGAGGGCGGCUUACUGGACGAUGACUGACGUGAGGCUCGAAAGCGUGGGGAGCAAACAGAUGUAGAUACGCUGGUAGUACACGCCGUAAACGAUGACUACUAGGUGUCGGGGAGCAAAGCUCUUCGGUGCCGCAGCAAACGCAAUAAGUAGUCCACCUGGGGAGUACGUUCGCAAGAAUGAAACUCAAAGGAAUUGACGGGGACCCGCACAAGCGGUGGAGCAUGUGGUUUAAUUCGAAGCAACGCGAAGAACCUUACCUGCUCUUGACAUCCCGGUGACCGGCAUGUAAUGAUGCCUUUUCUUCGGAACACCGGUGACAGGUGGUGCAUGGUUGCCGUCAGCUCGUGUCGUGAGAUGUUGGGUUAAGUCCCGCAACGAGCGCAACCCUUAUCUUCAGUAGCCAGCAUUUCAGGUGGGCACUCUGGAGAGACUGCCAGGGAUAACCUGGAGGAAGGUGGGGAUGACGUCAAAUCAUCAUGCCCCUUAUGAGCAGGGCUACACACGUGCUACAAUGGCGUAAACAAAGGGAAGCAAACCUGUGAGGGUAAGCAAAUCUCAAAAAUAACGUCUCAGUUCGGAUUGUAGUCUGCAACUCGACUACAUGAAGCUGGAAUCGCUAGUAAUCGCGAAUCAGCAUGUCGCGGUGAAUACGUUCCCGGGUCUUGUACACACCGCCCGUC
rnacentral:rRNA from 1 species